rnacentral:rRNA from 1 species
GUUUAUUUGAUAGCACUUUUUACUCGGAUAACUGUGGUAAUUUCUAGAGCUAAUACGUGCUGAAAAUCCCGACUUCGGAAGGGAUGUAUUUAUUAGAUUAAAGCCAAUGCCCUCUGGGCUUCAUGGUGAUUCAUAAUAACUUCUCGAAUCGCAUGGCCUUGCGCCGGCGAUGGUUCAUUCAAAUUUCUUCCCUAUCAACUUUCGAUGCGAGGGUAUUGUCCUCGCAUGGUUACAACGGGUAACGGAGGGUUAGGGCUCGACCCCGGAGAAGGAGCCUGAGAAACGGCUACUACAUCCAAGGAAGGCAGCAGGCGCGCAAAUUACCCAAUCCCGACACGGGGAGGUAGUGACAAUAAAUACUGAUACAGGGCUCUUUUGGGUCUUGUAAUCGGAAUGAGUACAAUUUAAAUCCCUUAACGAGGAACAAUUGGAGGGCAAGUCUGGUGCCAGCAGCCGCGGUAAUUCCAGCUCCAAUAGCGUAUAUUAAAGUUGUUGUGGUUAAAAAGCUCGUAGUCGAACCUUGGGCCUGGCUACACGGACCGCCUCACCGCGAGAUCUGCCGUAGCCGGGUCUUUCCCUCUGUGGAACCCCAUGGCCUUCACUGGUCGUGGCGGGGAAACAGGACUUUUACUGUGAAAAAAUUAGAGUGCUCCAAGCAGGCCUAUGCUCGAAUAUAUUAGCAUGGAAUAAUGAAAUAGGACGUUUGGUCGUAUUUCGUUGGCUAUAUGACCGACGUAAUGAUCAAAAGAAGCAGUCGGGGGCGUCCGUAUUCAGUUGUCAGAGGUGAAAUUCUUGGAUCUACUGAAGACGAACUACUGCGAAAGCAUUCGCCAAGGAUGUUUUCAUUGAUAAGGAACGAAAGUUAGGGGAUCGAAGACGAUCAGAUACCGUCGUAGUCUUAACUAUAAACUAUGCCGACUAGGGAUCGGACGAUGUUAUCUUUUGACUCGUUCGGCACCUUUCGAGAAAUCAAAGUGCUUGG